rnacentral:lncRNA from 1 species
AUGCUCCAGGGCACUCUGACCCUCGGUGGCACCCACAGCCUGGGGAAGGUGAUGUUAUUCCCUAGGGAUGAGCAGCCCUUCCCGAAGGGGAUGCAAUUCCUUGGGAUGGAGUGCGCUCCUGAGCUCCUCAUCUGCAUCCCACGGGCUCCUUGCGGUGCUGACUGGCCGCACCACGGCUGCUGCCAGCCUCAAACAAGGGCUGGGAAUGCUCGGGGCUGUGGGAAAAUUUGGGAAUGGGGCAGGAAGGGUCGUGUGGAUGGGAUUUGUACCAACCUGGGUGAGGCGGAGACACGGACUCUGCAAACUGGAUGCCGCUGCUGCUGCCCCAGGAAACCUGAGCGAAGAGAAGGGAAGGAGAGGAGCUGUGGCACAGAGCAAGGUGACAGCGCUGGGAACCAGAGCACCGAGCUGAAGCCCCUGAACCUGAGGGGCUCUUUUUGCUGCAUUCCCGAUUCUACGGAGCUGACACUGAAAUUAAUGCGUGUUAAUUUCGGGAGUGUGAAUUCCACAGUGGAGGGAAUCCCAAGGAAUUCGUAGGGAUGGAUAUUACUGAGAGUGAGUAAUUAAUUAAAGACCACCACAGGUAUCCCAUCAGACUGGAUUGACGCAGUUUGAGAACCAGCUCUGGCAGUGCUCCUUGGAAAGGGACAGCAUCAUUUUUUUAGGAAUGUUGGAAGCUGAAGCAAGACAGAUCAACCACUUCUAGGAACCUGACCUGCUGGAAGGGAGAAAUCCACCCAAAAGCAACAGGAGUUUUGAUGCUUGAGGGCCAGGAUUUUACUCUGCAAGUACAAAUACCGUUGGAUUUUUUUCCCUCCAUUUUAGUUCAUACAGCCCUUCCUUCAUUCAAGAUGCUCUCGAGUGAGCAGUUCAUUUCCCUGGCAACAACUUCCUAGCACAUCCCAUGCAUUUAAUUCCUUAAACAGUGGCUCUUCUGGGCUGAGAGUGCCUUUUUUCCCUGGUGCAGAUGUGACAAGGCAGACAGAGAUGGAGUCCCCAGGCUGAGCUUUUCCCAGCUCCCAUCCUGCCAGCCCGAAGCCUCGGGGGUUUUGGGGCAGGCCAUACCUUGUGCAGGUCACCGAGGUGACUUCCCUCACUGCCACUUUUCACUUUUUCCUCUGUGGGCACCACAGGGGUUGUGUCAAGUGCCGGUGGGAAGUGAAAACCGGUUCCAAGCAGCCCUGGGACACCUGGCUGGGAUGAAGAGGCUGCUGCUGGUGGGGAGGAGUGACCCAGCGUUUCCAAAACCUGACAAUUCUCUUCACCCAGACCUCUCUGCCCCUGGCUCCCUGGAUGAUUUUUGUGCAAUCAGCUGCAACAAGGUGCAGAGGCUGAAAUCUGAAAGGCUUCAAGAGCUGCAAAGUCAUGAACCAGGAAGAAAUAAUGAUUUGCCAAGCUCUUUAUGCAAAUCCCCGGAGUGGCUGGAGCUGGAGGAAUCCUACAAAGGCUGGAAGAGGGAAUGAGGGGGAAUGUGCAUGUGUUUGUGCACACAGAGCUCCAUCCCCUCCUCCAGAAGGGAUGGGGCUGCCCAGGUGAACCUUCCAUCCCAGAGGGAGUGACUUUUUUGGAGCAGCAGCUCUGUUUUCUCCCUGCAUUCCUCAGAUUCUCACUCCUUAAGGACACUGCUGCAGCUACUCUGGCUGAAUAUUCUUUUCCCCCAUCCUCACCAGCCGGUUACACUCAGAUUUUGGCCCAGAGAUUACGGUCUUGGCAAAAAAAAAUCACAUUAAAAGAGAAGGUACAAAGCAAACACCACAAUAUUUUUACUCACUGCUGAACUGGUGGCUGCUUGUCGUGCUCUCCUCUGCUGCAGCAACUCCUUGACUGUGAUCUUCACCCUCACACCUUGGUACACCUUGGGCUUUCCUGGAAGAAUUUGUGGAAGAACACUUUGCAAGGAGGGAGAAUCUUGGGGCAGACAGCAAAUCCAGCAGGUUUUCAGUGAGAGGACAAUUAGACCUAACAUGACUAAUUGGUCUCUGUUUGCAAUCACACCCACAGCCCCCUUUAACACCUUCUAUUCUGCUUGGGACAAGCAGACACUCAUGAAAAUCUUGCUGUUGAUAAUAUUUAAUAACCACGUGUUUUAUUCUUCUCUAUCUCCUUCUUCCCCCUGCCCCCCUUCCAGCUUUCCCAAUACCAAGCUCCAGCCUGCCCAAUACCAAGCUCCAUCUGGUGCUGCUGUUGGAUUCAUUUAAAUUCCUGACAUAUUUGCCUCUCUCAGGACCUGAAAAUAAAUGUGGGAAGCGCUUCA